UCCGUCUUGUUCCUGCUGACACUGCAGCUCCAUUCCUUCCCUGAUGUCAGAACCCAAUUUCUUCAAGAUUCCAUCAUAAACUAAAGAUCAGUGACUCCCCCAGAAUCCUCCAGAAUAUCAGUACCAGGUUCGGAUGACUGAGGCAUCCACCCUCAUAGGCUGAGCAGCCACUGGAUUCUCAUCCUCGGUAUUGUGAAGACGGCAUUACUGGACAACCAGCCUGUAUCAUAUAAAAUAUUCUUCAGGCCACUGGGAAUUUGAUCAUAUAAAGCUAUAACAUUGCUGACAGCAUGAAAAAGACCUGUGGAGACUCAUCAGAGAAAAACCCAACACAGAACUGAAGAUGAAUAUUCCUACCAAUGGGCACCACUCAGAUACAUCAGAUGGCUCAAUGGAGCCUCCUACAGAAAAGAUGACCACAAUGACCUUGGGAAAGCAGAGGAGACCCCAGAAGGAGAAGCCUCAAUUUCCAUGGACCUGGACACAUGAAAUGAGGACAGAGCUGACCAGCUCAUCUUCCUGUACCCUCCUUGCACUAUCCUGAAUUAACUGUUGUCUCCAAAAACGUUUACAGUAUCCCCUGACUAAGCAGCCUGUAUGACUGCCCAAGCCACUACCUGAGACCAAUUUAGACUAUGUUCCUGCUCCAUGCUACCUGAGAACUCUUUCUCAGUAAAAGGUUCCCAGAGACAAAUGUCUCACUACUGUCCCACUGUCAACAUUUGCAUCCCUAUUUUGAGCGUGGUAAAAUGUCACAACUGCAGAAAGCUAAACAGCCCACUCUGCUUGCCAGAAUAUCUCUAUAGAGUCCUGGCACUCUGAUCCACACAUUUCCAUAAAAACUAAAAACAGCUUCUUUGUUCUACAACCCCAGGAGGCAGAAGCAAGGAUGGCCCAGCCCAGCUUUCACAGCUCUCACCUGUCCCCCACCAAGUAGGUAUGUCACCUUUGCUGAUCUAAUCCUCUGAAUGAUCUAAAGUAACCUCUAAUUGAUACCAGGCUUGGUAACUGGAAUGCAAAAGGAACUUUUUAAACUUGCUUGUAUAUCAAGUAAAACAACAAAUAUCAAUGCAAAACUACUAGGGGAAAUUAACCAGGAAAUGGGAGGAUUAAGAAUUGCUGUAUUACAAAAUAGAGCUAAUAUAGAUUAUUUACUGUUAAAAAGUCACAUGGAAUGUGAACAAUUUCCAGGAAUGUGUUGUUUUAAUUUGUCUGAUUUUUCACAUACUAUAGACCAACAGAUUAAUGAUUUACAAAAGGAAGUCAGUAAGAUGUCUGAAUUCUCCAUACCUUGGACAGUGUGGCUCCAACUGUGUAGUCCAUUUUAGAGCCCCAUAUUGAUUGACAUACUUCUUCUUGUAGGAGCAUCAAUAGUGAUCCCCUGUAUUAUAGUUUCAAUAAUCAAUACUGUGGCCUCUAUAAGUACUUCCUUCUUA